UACGGAAGGUCCGGGCGUUAUCCGGAUUUAUUGGGUUUAAAGGGAGCGUAGGCCGGAGAUUAAGCGUGUUGUGAAAUGUAGAUGCUCAACAUCUGCACUGCAGCGCGAACUGGUUUCCUUGAGUACGCGCAAAGUGGGCGGAAUUCGUGGUGUAGCGGUGAAAUGCUUAGAUAUCACGAAGAACUCCGAUUGCGAAGGCAGCUCACUGGAGCGCAACUGACGCUGAAGCUCGAAAGUGCGGGUAUCGAACAGG
rnacentral:rRNA from 1 species